rnacentral:rRNA from 1 species
AAAUAGAACUUUGCAGAGAGAGUUAACAGGGCGUGAAACCGUUAAUUGGGAAACGAAUCGGAGCCACGAAGUCGUUUCGUUGUUGAGCCUCGGGCUGAGUUCAGCUUAAAUAUAUAGAAAUGUUUAGGUGUAUUCUUGUGCCUGGCCAACUUUGUAAGCGUACACUGCAACCAGUUAGACGAUUGGAGAUGGAACCAGUAGUUUAGUUAGUAGUAGCGCUGACAGUCUUGUAUUGUUUUGUGUUGCUGAACUAGUAAUGAGUGAGCUAUCUCCAAAGACUGACUGGCACAAUGACAAUCACUUUGCAACAAUAGUGUUAUAUAGAACGCGGUUAGUCGUACACAUUGCUACACUAUUGACCAUUAGGUCUUAAGUUCGGCAUCUUUGAAUUUGGACUUGCUAGCUACCAAUGGGGGCAACCUCUCGGUGCUAGUAUAGCUUCCAUCUAAUCGGGCGUUGACUUGGCCUAGUGUUGUUUAGUAGUGAAACGAUUGGUGGUGUGUAUGAAUUAAUUUGCAAUCUUAUUGGCAGUGAGUAGGUCGGCUUUCCGAACGACCCGUCUUGAAACACGGACCAAGGAGUCUAAUUAGGUAUCGAGUCGAUCGGUCUUGAAUAGGCCAGUAAGGCGUAGAGACAAUCGUGUAUCUUGAAUGCAACAGUUCGCGAGCGCAACAUGUGCCUGUUCGUAUAAGAGUGUAGUAAUAAUCUUGGCGGAGCAUUGAGAUACCUGAUUGGUACCCGAAAGAUGGUGAUGCUUGGGCAAGUUGAAGCCAGAGGAAACUCUGGUGGAGGACUUAGAUUCUGACGUGCAAAUCGAUCGUCAGACCUGAGUAUAGGGGCGAAAGACUAAUCGAACCAUC